rnacentral:rRNA from 1 species
AGAGUUUGAUCCUGGCUCAGGACGAACGCUGGCGGCAUGCCUAAUACAUGCAAGUCGAACGAGAAAGUUCCUUCGGGGACGAUUAAAGUGGCGCACGGGUGAGUAACGCGUAGACAAUCUGCCCUUCAGUCCGGGACAACUUUCCGAAAGGGGAGCUAAUACCGGAUAACAAUAUUUGACAUAAGUUUAAUAUUUGAAAGCUCCGGCGCUGAUGGAUGAGUCUGCGUCCCAUUAGCUUGUUGGUGUGGUAGUGGCACACCAAGGCUACGAUGGGUAGCGGGUUUGAGAGGACGAUCCGCCACACUGGAACUGAGACACGGUCCAGACUCCUACGGGAGGCAGCAGUAGGGAAUAUUGCACAAUGGAGGCAACUCUGAUGCAGCAAUGUCGCGUGAGUGAAGAAGGCCCUUGGGUCGUAAAGCUCUUUUAUGGGGGAAGAUGAUGACGGUACCCCAAGAAUAAGCACCGGCUAACUACGUGCCAGCAGCCGCGGUAAUACGUAGGGUGCGAGCGUUGUUCGGAAUUACUGGGCGUAAAGGGCGCGCAGGCGGAGAUGCAAGUCGGAGGUGAAAGCCCGGGGCUCAACCCCGGAGGGUCUUUCGAAACUGCUAAUCUAGAGAGGGUCAGGGGCCAGCAGAAUUCUUGGUGUAGAGGUGAAAUUCGUAGAUAUCAAGAGGAAUACCGGUGGCGAAAGCGGCUGGCUGGGGCCACUCUGACGCUGAGGCGCGAAAGCGUGGGGAGCAAACAGGAUUAGAUACCCUGGUAGUCCACGCCGUAAACGAUGAGCACUGGAUGUCCGGAGGGUUCGACCCUUCUGGGUGUCUCAGCUAACGCAUUAAGUGCUCCGCCUGGGGAGUACGGUCGCAAGACUAAAACUCAAAGGAAUUGAC